rnacentral:rRNA from 1 species
AUUGAACGCUGGCGGCAGGCCUAACACAUGCAAGUCGAGCGGAGCGGCGGACGGGUGAGUAAUGCCUAGGAAUCUGCCUGGUAGUGGGGGAUAACGUCCGGAAACGGACGCUAAUACCGCAUACUAUCAGAUGAGCCUAGGUCGGAUUAGCUAGUUGGUGGGGUAAUGGCCCACCAAGGCGACGAUCCGUAACUGGUCUGAGAGGAUGAUCAGUCACACUGGAACUGAGACACGGUCCAGACUCCUACGGGAGGCAGCAGUGGGGAAUAUUGGACAAUGGGCGAAAGCCUGAUCCAGCCAUGCCGCGUGUGUGAAGAAGGUCUUCGGAUUGUAAAGCACUUUAAGUUGGGAGGCGUUACCAACAGAAUAAGCACCGGCUAACUCAGUGCCAGCAGCCGCGGUAAUAC